CACUAUCCUAAAUGAAUCCCUAGAAUCCCCUUCUUUCUCCUCUUUCUUCUUCCCAGCCCGAUACUCUUUCUUUUCUUCUCUAGCAUUUCAGUCGGCCAGACCAGAUGAGCCAUCUCCGGCCACCACCCAAUGACACGCACCCCACCACGAGCUUCCUUGGCCCCCGAAACCGCCAACCCGUGAAGCUCGCCUCCCCACUCGCCGGCCUCCGUCGCGACUGGCUCCUCAAAGUUCCGUCGCCGCUGUGAGUUUGGAGGAUUUUUCUGGCCUCCACCGUGGACGAUGAAGGCUCCUGCUGGCGAACCCACUUUGCCGGUUCUCUACCCUUCGUCGCUAUCAGUUAAAACUGUUUUGAGGGAUCAGAAGCAGAAGACUUGAAUGGGUGGCCCUAAGCAAUGUCAAGUUUGCAAUGAAGCAGUUUCCAAGUACAAGUGUCCCUCUUGUCUUGUCCCUUAUUGUUCACUUAUCUGCUUCAAGAAACACAAAGGUAUGCUACUUUGACUUUUGACUCUGGUUUACCCAUUAUGAUCUGGUUUAAUAUUUGGAAUGCUGCAUAUGUGAAAUUAUGAUCACAUAAAUUGAUAGUUGGUCAUGUAAUUAAUAUUAGUAUCUAAUAUGUGAUAUUAGAUUUAUAUAGAAUUUCAUUAUAUAUUUUCAAGACGUAAUUACAACAGUAAGAUAAUUUUUUCAUUAUCUGUUCAUAGUUAUAUUUUUGGUUCAGAUGAUAAGCUUUUUAAAUUGACAAUAUUGCUUGGCAUUUCUGUAAUGUAUAUAUUCAUCAUAAUUGGAUAGGAUCAAGGAGGAUGAUAAGAUGAUUCAAGCUGAGGGAGUGGAGUCCCUUUCAGAAAAAGAGCUUAUUUAAGCCUGUCAAGAACGAGGCAUACUUGGAACACUUUCAGUAGAGGAAAUGCGAGAAGAGGUUUGAGCUUAAUCUAGACUUCUUUAGUUUGUUCAUUGAUUGAAGAUAGACUGAAACAUGUCUAUUAAAUUUAUCACUUAUGGUUCAUGAAUACUAUAUUUUCAUGGUGAUUUCACCUCAUUUGUUACUGUCAGGGAUGUCAAUAAGCCAAUGUAAGCUUUGACUAGCUGCAACCUCUUCUAAACAGCCCAUAGUUAUAUCAUCAGCUUACGUUUGUUUGAUGUUUGAAGUAUACUAUAAAGAACAAUAUACAUCAUAUCUUAUUAUAUAAUGCUGAUAUGGAUCUAUUUUAGUUUUAUCUUUUUUGAAACUCUAACUUCAUGUAAAAGAUCAAUAGCUAAUAAAUUCUAAACAGGCUUUUUUGGAAGCUUUUAUGA